rnacentral:tRNA from 1 species
AAGGCUUUAAGUUAAAUAAACUAAUAGUCUUCAAAACUAUAAAUAUAAGAUAUUCUUUUAAGCUUUA